rnacentral:rRNA from 1 species
CACGUAGGGUGCGAGCGUUUGUCCGGAAUUAUUGGGCGUAAAGAGCUCGUAGGCGGUGUGUCGCGUCGGCCGUGAAAACCUGCAGCUUAACUGUGGGCUUGCGGUCGAUACGGGCAUCACUGGAGUUCGGCAGGGGAGACUGGAAUUCCUGGUGUAGCGGUGAAAUGCGCAGAUAUCAGGAGGAACACCGGUGGCGAAGGCGGUUCUC